rnacentral:rRNA from 1 species
AUUGAACGCUGGCGGCAGGCUUAACACAUGCAAGUCGAGCGGGGUGAUGGUGCUUGCACUAUCACUUAGCGGCGGACGGGUGAGUAAUGCUUAGGAAUCUGCCUAUUAGUGGGGGACAACAUCUCGAAAGGGAUGCUAAUACCGCAUACGUCCUACGGGGGAAAGCAGGGGAUCACUUGUGACCUUGCGCUAAUAGAUGAGCCUAAGUCGGAUUAGCUUGGUGGUGGGGUAAAGGCCUACCAAGGCGACGAUCUGUAGCGGGUCUGAGAGGAUGAGCCGCCACACUGGGACCGAGACACGGCGCAGAUUCCUACCGGAGGGAGGAGUGGGGAAUAUUGGACAAUGGGGGGAACCCUGAUCCAGCCGUGCCGCGUUUGUGAAGAAGGGCUUAUGGUUGUAAAGCACUUUAAGCGAGGAGGAGGCUCUUGCGGUUAAUACCCAGAAUGAGUGGACGUUACUCGCAGAAUAAGCACCGGCUAACUCUGUGCCAGCCGCCGCAGUAA